GAUGAACGCUGGCGGCGUGCCUAAUACAUGCAAGUCGAGCGAACAGAUAAGGAGCUUGCUCCUUUGACGUUAGCGGCGGACGGGUGAGUAACACGUGGGUAACCUACCUAUAAGACUGGGAUAACUUCGGGAAACCGGAGCUAAUACCGGAUAACAUUUGGAACCGCAUGGUUCUAAAGUGAAAGAUGGUUUUGCUAUCACUUAUAGAUGGACCCGCGCCGUAUUAGCUAGUUGGUAAGGUAACGGCUUACCAAGGCAACGAUACGUAGCCGACCUGAGAGGGUGAUCGGCCACACUGGAACUGAGACACGGUCCAGACUCCUACGGGAGGCAGCAGUAGGGAAUCUUCCGCAAUGGGCGAAAGCCUGACGGAGCAACGCCGCGUGAGUGAUGAAGGGUUUCGGCUCGUAAAACUCUGUUAUUAGGGAAGAACAAAAGUGUAAGUAACUGUGCACGUCUUGACGGUACCUAAUCAGAAAGCCACGGCUAACUACGUG
rnacentral:rRNA from 1 species